GUACCCUGUAGAGUCUCCUGAGUAAUCAGAGAAACUGAACAUUAACUUACUGAUCUUUUAGAAGUCUCGCUUCUGAUUUGACCAUGUGCUCCAGUUGUUCUUACAUAUUCUCUCAUUGCACCGGAUCAAGUUACACUGGGAGCCAGUCGUAAACUUGCAUUUAGUGAAAUGCAAGCACAUACUGCUUGAGAGCACAAGUCAAUCAUUGCUCGGGUUAAAGAUUUUUGUGAGUUAAUCACACUUUUCUUAUUUUGAGCUAUGUUAGCAGAAGAGCAUUCUUUAGUAGAUCUUCUUUGAUAUUGAAUGCUUUAAAUUACUUCUUUAAGAAUUCAAAUUCUAAAGAAAAUAUCAGGUCUAAUGUUUUCUGUUUGGAGAGAGUUUUUCUUUUGGAUGUUUCCUAUUUAUAAAUUUAAAAGUAC
ensembl:processed_transcript